rnacentral:rRNA from 1 species
CCUACGGGAGGCAGCAGUGGGGAAUAUUGGGCAAUGGGCGCAAGCCUGACCCAGCAACGCCGCGUGAAGGAAGAAGGCUUUCGGGUUUUAAACUUCUUUUCUUAGGGACGAAGCAAGUUACGGUACCUGAGGUAUAAGCCUCGGCUAACUACGUGCCAGCAGCAGCGGUAAUACGGCGGUGGCAAGCGUUAUCCGGAUUUACUGGUUGUAAAGGGAGUGUAGGCGGGAAAGCAAGUCAGAUGUGAAAACCAUGGGCUCAACCUGUGGCCUGCAUUUGAAACUGUUUUUCUUGAGUACUGGGGAGGCAGACGGAAUGCCUAGUGUAGCGGUGAAAUGCGUAGAUAUUAGGAGGAACACCGGUGGCGAAGGCAGUCUGCUGGACAGCAACUGACGCUGAGGCGCGAAAGCGUGGGGAGCAAACAGGAUUAGAUACCCUAGUAGUC